UACGAAGGGGGCUAGCGUUGCUCGGAUUUACUGGGCGUAAAGGGCGCGUAGGCGGACAGUUAAGUUGGGGGUGAAAGCCCGGGGCUCAACCUCGGAAUUGCCUUCAAUACUGGCUGUCUUGAGUGUGAGAGAGGUGUGUGGAACUCCGAGUGUAGAGGUGAAAUUCGUAGAUAUUCGGAAGAACACCAGUGGCGAAGGCGGCUCACUGGCUCGUAACUGACGCUCAUGCACGACAGCGUGGGGAUCAAACAGG
rnacentral:rRNA from 1 species